UACGGGGGGGGCAAGCGUUGCUCGGAAUCACUGGGCGUAAAGCGCACGUAGGCGGACUCUUAAGUCGGGGGUGAAAUCCUGGAGCUCAACUCCAGAACUGCCUUCGAUACUGGCGACCUUGAGUCCGGGAGAGGUGAGUGGAACUCCGAGUGUAGAGGUGAAAUUCGUAGAUAUUCGGAAGAACACCAGUGGCGAAGGCGGCUCACUGGCCCGGUACUGACGCUGAGGUGCGAAAGCGUGGGGAGCAAACAGG
rnacentral:rRNA from 1 species